UACGUAGGGAGCAAGCGUUGUUCGGAUUUACUGGGCGUAAAGGGCGCGUAGGCGGCAAAUUAAGUCAGCUGUGAAAUCUCCGAGCUUAACUCGGAACGGUCAGCUGAUACUGAUCUGCUAGAGUGCGGAAGGGGCAAUCGGAAUUCUUGGUGUAGCGCUUAAAUGCGUAGAUAUCAAGAGGAACACCUGAGGUGAAGACGGGUUGCUGGGCCGACACUGACGCUGAGUGCGCGAAAGCCAGGGGAGCAAACGGG
rnacentral:rRNA from 1 species